UUCAGGCUGAGCUCAAUUGCAAAAAUACAAAAAGAAAAUUGAAGGAAUCAAACAAAUUACCAGAAAAAUCAAUUCCGGACAGUAAAAUGCUUGGAUCUUCAAGAUUCCUACGCGCCAGGUCCAAUCACAAGCUUCAGGCUAUUAGAGCCGUAGAAAUAAAACCCAAAAUUAAAUCCAUAAAACUUGAAAACCCAACAAAAACUAAUGAAGAAAUCAAAGGGAGAAAACAAAAAAGAAAAGAAAAAGAGAGAGUUGAAAUCCCAACAACCACAAUAAGAAAA
rnacentral:misc_RNA from 1 species